CUCGCCUGCCGCCAUGUAAACGUUCUUUGCUCCUGCUUCGUCUUCUGCCGUGAUUGUGAGGCCUCCCCAGCCAUGUGGAACUACUCAUCACUCACUGCAGAUGUUACUUUAAGACAUUCUGGAGCAGCGUCAUGUGCAGGUGCGUAGUGCCUCCGCCCAUCUCUCUCUUGCUCCUGGUCUCAUCGUGACGGGCCUGGUCCUGCCUCACUUUAUGCCACGACUAAGAGCUCCCUGAGGCCUCUCCAGAAGCAGAUAUCACUAUGCUUCCUACACAGCCUGCAGAACCUUCUCUUGCCUGCCACCAUGUAAGAUAUGCUUUUACUCUUCCGCCUUCCACCGUGACUGUGAGGCCUCCCCAGCCAUGUGAAACUGCCUUUGAGCUUAUACUGAAUUAUACCACCAGCUUUCCUAGGUCUUGAAGCUUACAGACAGCAGAUCUUGGGACUUCUCAGGCACCAUAAUCAAUCAUAGAUAAAUGAUCCAAUGAUUCGGAACUUGAAAAGUGGUAGCUUUAUGAAUUCUCCUUAAGAAGAAACCUGUGCCCUGAUCUUGCCUACUCACCCAAAGGCACUGUGAGAUAGCAUCAAAGGAACAGCUAGUAAGAGACACAGAGCCAGAAAUCAGGGAAGUAAAAUACACUUGACAUCUACGUUCGGAAAGAAAUUUUAGGAGGCAGAAGCAAAUGGAUCAGAAGCUGCUUAUAUUUUUGCAAGAUUACCAAAGAAACCAUUGGUGGAGAAAGUUCUGUGACCAACUUGUCUGAGUCUAGUAAGAUUGAACGCUCACACACAAGUUUCAUGAAGUGGGUUUGAUACUUACAGAUAAGCAGCAAGGACCAACAGAAGCUGAUGAUCUAUGGUGAACUUUUUCCCAAGGCUCCGGAAAGCUGCCUAAAGUAGAUGGAGUCUUCUCUGUGUGUGCCCCACUGGUCCUGCAGUUGAAGGAUCCGGUAAAGCAGCCUGCCCUUGGUUUUAUACUCCAGAGGAACGUGAUUCGCUGGACUAAAGCAUUGAAGUGCAUCCUGUUUCCGGGGGGCACUGGAACAGAGCCUGGUCUGUUCUAGCCAGUCCCUUUCUAUCUCAGGAUAACAUUCUACAGUUAUUCUUGAGAACUAUAAUCAAAUAAGCAGGGAGAACUGGGAAAGCAGAGGCUCAUUGUGGAACCCUCAAGGAGCAUGGGGUCGUCUUCAUCCCUCAGUUUAUAAAUGGCCAAGGAGAGUAAUGCAACAAAAACUUCUCAGAGUUAAAAGCCAGAGUUCCUAAAGAACCGUGGACAAAGGGUUCUGUCUAGUGGGCAGAAUUCAUCCAGCGAAGGUGCUUACUGCACUCCCAGCAUGUGCUUGGGAACUUUAUUAAAAUUCCUUCCUAUUGAGAUUUAAAUUGCUGUCCAGAAUUAUACAAUAUAAUGAAUGGGGGCAUUCAUUAUGUGUAUUCUAUGCCUUCUCCAUCAUUGCAUAUUCAGUCCUCGUGCUAGAGAGAGGCAGAUAAUCUACCUUUUAAAUUGAUAGGUCUCCUAACUACAGAGGGUCACAUCUGGAUCUGAUGGCACCUACAGAACUUGGACUCUGAGCGACAAUCAGUGACCAGGAAAUUUGGAACCCAGGUUUUCCCAACCUACAUCUACAAAAUGGAAUGGGUCUGAUUCGCAAGUUUUCAGAGAAAGAAGCCAACCUUAAUCAGACUGUGAUAUGAUGAGGAAAUAAAACUUGCUGUGCUAAUCAACUGAUACUGGGAAGCAUGUUUAUUAUAAUAACAUAGUCUAUGCUUAACUUUUCUAAGAAACUAAUGAUCUGGAAUAUCGAUAAAAAGAAAAAAGAAAGAAAGCAAAA
ensembl:lncRNA LINC02241 long intergenic non-protein coding RNA 2241